CAAAACUUUCGCAAGGCAACUAAACCUGUCCCUAUCUGUUGUUCACAGGCUCGCCGGAACGGACGGCUGGAUGGGUUCCUAUGACAAAUUCGGAAAUAAGAAAAGCCCCAUGCUCAAAUAAAGAGAAGAACAAGCGAGAAGAAGGACAGCUGACAAAUAUCAGCACCAGGUUUAUCUACUUCAGUGUUUUUCCUUUAUGACCAGGCUUAACAUGUUACAAUACAGGAAAAAUGGAGAAACCUUAUAGGAUGGACAAUGCGAGACUCCCACAGAAGAGCCAUCUUAGAAAUUGCUGCUAUUUGGGGCCGGAUGGUUGGACUUAUCUCAAGGAAACCUCAACCCCCUUUCAUAAUGACUGAAAGAAAAGGACUUUGUAAACAUUGUGCUAAUCCGAAAAUGCCGCAAUAAAGAAGCACAUUGGGCAGACAGAUUAAGAAAGAAACUGAGACAAAGAGCAGAUGACCAAAUAGACCGAUUGAUGUCCACAAAAUCUUCUUAAAGGGUCCCAUCACAAUAAGAAAAUUACAAAAUGUUUCCCUUAUGGGACCCACAUUGAUCAACUGGGAAACUGCCAAUUCCCUACAGCGUCUCCACAAAGUUAAUGCGCUCAUCAUGUUUCAUUUAAGAGAAUCCAUUAGCCCGACUCAUUUUGAAAUAUUCUGUGGUUGAGCAACCUUUAGAUGAUCUGCGAUAAAGGACUAUCAGCCUUGGGAGACGGAACUUCCUUUUCUCCUUCCUGAUUGCCUCACCUGAGGACUUGGCCUCAGAGAUUAUCCGAAGCUCCCGCUGGUUUAGGUGUAUUGUGCCACAUUCCAUAUACCUUGGAGACAACCGGAAAUCGUGGCUUAGAAAAAAAGACCACUAGAGGGUCCACAUACCAUCCAGAACAUAAUCCUGACUGGCUGCUGCAUCAUCUUUGUCCGAGACUGCAGCAUGAAAACAGAGAGGAGGGGGAUUACAGAACAGCCUGCAGUGAUUGGAUGAAGAGACCCAGCACAGCACAGCAGACUCAGGGAGGGAGAUAAGUCAUGCACUGUGAGGACACACCCUCUUCAGAGCACAGAAUGGCAAACCAA